rnacentral:rRNA from 1 species
AAUGCCGGUAUGAGUAGCGAAAGACGGGUGAGAAUCCCGUCCACCGAAUGCCUAAGGUUUCCUGAGGAAGGCUCGUCCGCUCAGGGUUAGUCGGGACCUAAGCCGAGGCCGAAAGGCGUAGGCGAUGGACAACAGGUUGAUAUUCCUGUACCACCUCCUCACCAUUUGAGCAAUGGGGGGACGCAGGAGGAUAGGGUAAGCGCGGUAUUGGAUAUCCGCGUCCAAGCAGUUAGGCUGGGAAAUAGGCAAAUCCGUUUCCCGUGAAGGCUGAGCUGUGAUGGCGAGCGAAAUUUAGUAGCGAAGUUCCUGAUUCCACACUGCCAAGAAAAGCCUCUAGCGAGGUGAGAGGUGCCCGUACCGCAAACCGACACAGGUAGGCGAGGAGAGAAUCCUAAGGUGA